GACAGAGGAGAGUCGUCUGCAAUUAUCUUGACACAAAUUUCGUCCCUUCCUUAUUGUUUUUUCUUGGUGAGCUAUAAAGAUCAGUCUAUAGUCAAAACUAUAAACAUACAAAUUCAAACAGAAACAUAUCCAACCAAAAAGACAUUUAUAUGUAGUCUCUGGUCUUGUUCAAUGUGUUGCAGAAUCAAUGAUAUAGAAACCCAAAAACACCGAUAUAAACGGAAGCAACAGAGGCCAAAUUCU